AGACAACUGAGGCCUCGGUUUUUCGAAAGUUACUGCCAAGAAGGAAAACAUGCAGCUGAAAGUUAUCCUCGUGGGCUUGACCAUCUUGGGUCUCAUUGUUGCUGAAAGCGGUGCCAUGCCGACCAGCAGGAGUGUCAGUGAAGCCGAAGCCAGGGUUGAAACCGAGUCUGCUGAUCGCGCAGAGCAAAGCAGCGCUGAAGAGGCACGCAUCAGCGACGCAUGCCUAAAAUCCCUUUGUGGAUAGUAGUCUGAUGAU
rnacentral:lncRNA from 1 species